UUCAAGUAAAAUGCAGUUUUUCAGCUUUUCAAUAGGAUCAGAUGUCUUUUUCAGAUGCACCCAUAGUGUCUGUAGUGAAUGUGGAAACACAGUCAUCUUCUGCAACACUGAUUUACCACCCAUGGGGUUUGACAAAUG